ACUUAAAUAGCUUAAUUAGAGAGUAUAGCAUUGAAGAUGCUGGGGUAAUAAUAAUAUUUUUAAGUA
rnacentral:tRNA from 1 species